rnacentral:rRNA from 1 species
AGUGAACGCUGGCGGUAGGCCUAACACAUGCAAGUCGAACGGCAGCACAGUAAGAGCUUGCUCUUACGGGUGGCGAGUGGCGGACGGGUGAGGAAUACAUCGGAAUCUACUUUUUCGUGGGGGAUAACGUAGGGAAACUUACGCUAAUACCGCAUACGACCUACGGGUGAAAGCAGGGGAUCUUCGGACCUUGCGCGAUUGAAUGAGCCGAUGUCGGAUUAGCUAGUUGGCGGGGUAAAGGCCCACCAAGGCGACGAUCCGUAGCUGGUGUGAGAGGAUGAUCAGCCACACUGGAACUGAGACACGGUCCAGACUCCUACGGGAGGCAGCAGUGGGGAAUAUUGGACAAUGGGCGCAAGCCUGAUCCAGCCAUACCGCGUGGGUGAAGAAGGCCUUCGGGUUGUAAAGCCCUUUUGUUGGGAAAGAAAAGCAGCAGGUUAAUACCCCGCUGUUCUGACGGUACCCAAAGAAUAAGCACCGGCUAACCUCGUG